UGUUGUUGCGAUCGUAAUCCUGCUCAGUACGAGAGGAACCGCAGGUUCAGACCUUUGGUGUAUGUGCUUGGCUGAGGAGCCAAUGGGGCGAAGCUACCAUCUGUGGGAUUAUGACUGAACGCCUCUAAGUCAGAAUCCCCCCUAAACGUAACGAUACCGCAGCGCCGCGGAGCCUCGGUUGGCCUCGGAUAGCCGGUUUGCCGCGCGCCCGCGCGGCCUCCCGGUGCGGAGAGCCGUCCGCCCGGGGAGCGGAGCGCGGCCGGAAGGGGGGCCGCCUCUCGCCCUUGGCGCACCGCACGUUCGUGGGGAACCCAGUGCUAAAUCAUUCGUAGACGACCUGAUUCUGGGUCAGGGUUUCGUACGUAGCAGAGCAGCUCCCUCGCUGCGAUCUAUUGAAAGUCAUAAAAAUUAAAAAUAA